AGUGGGUGUAACGUACCUACUAGCCUACGACGGGUACGGGUUGUGAGAGCAAGAGCCCGGAGAUGGAUUCUGAGACACGAAUCCAGGCCCUACGGGGUGCAGCAGGCGCGAAAACUUUACAAUGCGGGAAACCGUGAUAAGGGAAUCUCGAGUGCCAGCAUAUAAUGUUGGCUGUCCAGAUGCCUAAAAAGCAUCUGUUAGCAAGGGCCGGGCAAGACCGGUGCCAGCCGCCGCGGUAACACCGGCGGCCCGAGUGGUAACCGUUAUUAUUGGGUCUAAAGGGUCUGUAGCCGGCCAUGUAAGUCCCUUGGGAAAUCUGGCAGCUCAACUGUCAGGCUGCUAGGGGAUACUGCUUGGCUUGGGACCGGGAGAGGUGAGAGGUACCUUGAGGGUAGGGGUGAAAUCUUGUGAUCCUCGGGGGACCACCAGUGGCGAAGGCGUCUCACCAGAACGGAUCCGACGGUAAGGGACGAAAGCUAGGGGCACGAACCGGAUUAGAU
rnacentral:rRNA from 1 species